UAGAAUCGGAUUAUUUAUUAU
ensembl:piRNA 21ur-1375 ncRNA